rnacentral:rRNA from 1 species
UAGGAAAUUUUCGUCAAUGGGCGCAAGCCUGAACGAGCAAUGCCGCGUGAACGAGGAAGGUCUUCGGAUCGUAAAGUUCUGUUGAAGGGGAAAAAGAGCGGAGAGAGGAAAUGCUUUCUGAUUGAUAUUACCCUUCGAGGAAGUCACGGCUAACUACGUGCC